ACGGCGGUCACUGCGGAACAACGCAGCGGGAGAGCGGGGCCUGAACGGCUUCUGGGUGGGAUUUCCUCAACGCAGGAGCGUUAGAAACAACGUGAAACUACGUCUCAAACAAGGAAGACGGCGGUAAGGCAAGAGUCCAAUAAACGCCUCCUAGACAGCACGGUUCAGCCGGCAGAAAAAAAGGAGUCUUUGGGAGUGCAAGCAGCGGCUGGAGAUGUCAGGGAGCGCCAAAGGCAUCCCACCGGACCUGAGUAAGCCCUCUGACACUGCGCCACGUAUGAAACAACCGCUGAAACCGGGGAGAAUGGGGAACGGCGCAGAAAAUAGAGCAUGAGUAACGCUGGGCAGGAGCCGGGCUGUGCGCAGCCACUGCGCCGUGUUAAUGAGCGGCACUGAGAGAAAUUCUGCUGGAGAAAAACAGGAAUUGAAAAAGCACGUGGGGACACCUGAGUGACCCUCAGGGGCACAGUAAUAGGAGCAAGGUCUAAAAGGCAUGGAAUAAAACAUUCAGACUGGAGGUCUGGGGACACAUUGGGUACUAUCAGGCAGAAUGGACAAGGAUGUGAACCUCGGCGUGCUGUGCAGUGAAUCAUAGAAUGGUCUGGGUUGAAAAG
rnacentral:lncRNA from 1 species